rnacentral:tRNA from 2 species
UUUUCUUUAGUAUAAAAAGUAUAAUUAAUUUCCAAUUAAAAGGUUUAAUUUUUAAAGAAAAA